UACGUAGGGUGCAAGCGUUUGUCCGGAAUUAUUGGGCGUAAAGAGCGUGUAGGCGGCCCGGUUAGUCCGCUGUGAAAGUCCAGGGCUCAACCCUGGAAUGCCGGUGGAUACUGUCGGGCUAGAGUCCGGAAGGGGCGAGUGGAAUUCCUGGUGUAGCGGUGAAAUGCGCAGAUAUCAGGAGGAACACCAAUUGCGAAGGCAGCUCGCUGGGACGUGACUGACGCUGAGACGCGAAAGCGUGGGGAGCAAACAGG
rnacentral:rRNA from 1 species